UUGACCUGCUAACUCUAAUGGCCGCCAUUACCAAUCUCCCUUUAAUGGCGCAUAUAUAAAAUGACACACUUCAAUCCAUUGAUAGAGGGCGAGGUGGGACAGGUUGACUGGUCUGUGGAGUACGUGGGACCAAUAUAACACAGUAACUUCUCCUGGAAACCACGUAAGGUCACAGGGAAAUGCAUGAUAUUUCUGGAUUUGGCACCACUGAGAGGUUAACUCUGUUUCUACAUUUUUGCUGCCAUCAGGAAACAAUCGGGAAUUGAACCAAACCUUCUAAAGAUGACAUCAGAUUC